AUCGGGGAGCGAAGCUUGCUUUGCUCCGCCGGCGACCGGCGCACGGGUGAGUAACGCGUAUGCAACCUGCCCGUUUCAGCGGGAUAACCCGGAGAAAUCCGGCCUAAUACCGCAUGUGGCCGAGGGGAGGCAUCUUCUUUCGGCCAAAGGAGGCGACUCCGGAGACGGAUGGGCAUGCGUGACAUUAGCUUGUUGGCGGGGUAACGGCCCACCAAGGCGACGAUGUCUAGGGGUUCUGAGAGGAAGGUCCCCCACACUGGUACUGAGACACGGACCAGACUCCUACGGGAGGCAGCAGUGAGGAAUAUUGGUCAAUGGGCGAGAGCCUGAACCAGCCAAGUCGCGUGAAGGAUGACGGCCCUACGGGUUGUAAACUUCUUUUGUCAGGGAGCAAUUGGGUCCACGUGUGGGCUUAGCGAGAGUACCUGAAGAAAAAGCAUCGGCUAACUCCGUGCCAGCAGCCGCGGUAAUACGGAGGAUGCGAGCGUUAUCCGGAUUUAUUGGGUUUAAAGGGUGCGUAGGCGGAAUAUCAAGUCAGCGGUAAAAAUUCGGGGCUCAACCCCGUCGUGCCGUUGAAACUGAUGUUCUUGAGUGGGCGAGAAGUAUGCGGAAUGCGUGGUGUAGCGGUGAAAUGCAUAGAUAUCACGCAGAACUCCGAUUGCGAAGGCAGCAUACCGGCGCCCAACUGACGCUGAAGCACGAAAGCG
rnacentral:rRNA from 1 species